GUGAAGUGAUGAUGAAGUUUAUCCAUUCUCUGAGUGCCGCUGCUCUGCCCUCCCUGCAGCACCUUGAUUCCUGUGCUAGGAUCUCUGUGCUGGGCAGCCUCCAGAUAUCCUCUAGCCUUCCAGUGUUUUACUGGUGGCUGCUGGCAUGUCUGGCUGGCUGUGCAGGAAUGGGGCAGAGCCAGCAGGGUAGGAGCCUUCUCCAGGGGGCUCCGCCUCAACCAAGACGAAUGAUGCUGUCUGAUCAC
rnacentral:snoRNA from 1 species